AAGCAUGGUGGAAUUAGCUAGCUAGCUAACUAGCCAGCCGCUAAAUGAGUAAACAUGAACAACUUCAUGGCUUCGUCCACACACUCUUGUCCAUCUUGUCACAGCAUAAGAAAGCACAUUGCUAUUGCCAGAUAAUUCGCCAAUCAUAGCACUGUAUUUCUGCAAAGGUGUAAGCUUCUGUAUAUACUGUAUGUUACUGGCUAUUUGCAAAUAAAGAAAGAUUUAAUCUCCGA